rnacentral:rRNA from 1 species
UACAUAGGGUGCAAGCGUUGCUCGGAAUUAUUGGGCGUAAAGGGUACGUAGGUGGUCUCAUUUGUGUGGGGUGAAAGCCUUGGGCUUAACUCAAGAAGUGCCCCGCAAACGGUGAGACUGGAGUACUGGAGAGGCUAGCGGAAUUCCCGGUGUAGCGGUGAAAUGCGUAGAGAUCGGGAGGAACACCAGAGGCGAAGGCGGCUAGCUGGACAGUUACUGACACUCAACUACGAAAGCGUGGGGAGCAAACAGG